AAUAUUGGACAAUGGGCGAAAGCCUGAUCCAGCCAUUCCGCGUGUGUGAAGAAGGCCUUCGGAUUNUCAAGCACUUUAAGUUGGGANGAAGGGUUAUAGGUUAAUACCCAGCAAUUAUGACGGUACCAUCAGCAUAAGCACCGGCUAACUUCGUGCCAGCAGCCGCGGUAAUACGAAGGGUGCAAGCGUUAAUCGGAAUUACUGGGCGUAAAGCGCGCGUAGGUGGUACGUUAAGUUGGAAGUGAAAGCCCCGGGAUUAACCUGGGAACUGCUUUCAAAACUGGCAAGCUAGAAUAUGGCAGAGGGUGGUGGAAUUUCCUGUGUAGCGGUGAAAUGCGUAGAUAUAGGAAGGAACACCAGUGGCGAAGGCGACCACCUGGGCUAAUACUGACACUGAGGUGCGAAAGCGUGGGGAGCAAACAG
rnacentral:rRNA from 1 species